rnacentral:tRNA from 1 species
GGGGCUAUCGUCUAGUGGUUAGGACGUCGGAUUUUCAAUCCGAUAACAGGGGUUCAAUUCCCCUUAGCCCUA